rnacentral:lncRNA from 1 species
AAAAGGGAGAAGGUUUGGAUCCAUAAAAACGUUUAAUCCCGCUGCAAAUGUUUGCACCUGUCCUAAGUCAGGAAUCUGAUGUACAGUAGUUGUCGUUUGUUUAUGUAAUUUAUACGUGUUUCUCGUUUCUCGUUUUUUUAUAUAGAUUAUGCCGUUGGUUUUUCCUUUUAAAUGGUUUUACACUAGUAAUUUUAGGGCCCUUUAUAGCUUGUUGUUCGGUGUGAGCCAAGGCUCCGUGUUGAAGGCCGUACAUUGACCUAUAAUGGUUUACUUUUUUUAAAAUUGUUAUUUGGAUGGAGAGUUGUCUAAUUGGCACUCACACCACAUCUUCCUAUAUCUAU